rnacentral:rRNA from 1 species
UACGAAGGGGGCGAGCGUUGUUCGGAUUUACUGGGCGUAAAGGGCGCGCAGGCGGUUCUGUUUGUCGAGUGUGAAAGCCCCGGGCUCAACCUGGGAACUGCGCUCGAAACGGCGGAACUAGAGUUCGGGAGAGGGGGAUGGAAUUCCGCGUGUAGCAGUGAAAUGCGUAGAUAUGCGGAGGAACACCGAUGGCGAAGGCAAUCCCCUGGACCUGUACUGACCCUCAUGCACGAAAGCGUGGGGAGCAAACAGG